rnacentral:rRNA from 1 species
GAUGAACGCUGGCGGCGUGCUUAACACAUGCAAGUCGAACGGAAAGGCCCUGCUUUUGUGGGUUGCUCGAGUGGCGAACGGGUGAGUAACACGUGAGUAACCUGCCCUUGACUUUGGGAUAUCUUCAGGAAACUGGGUCUCAUACCCGAUAUGAGCUCCUGCUGCAUGGUGGGGGUUGGAAAGUUGCGGCGGUUGGGGAUAGACUCGCGGCUUAUCGGCUUGUUGGUGGAGUAGUGGCUUACCAAGGGUUAGACGGAUAGCCGGCCUGAGAGGGGAAACGGGGACAAGAGGACUAAGAGAGGGAGCAGACGGGAACGGGAGGCAAUGGUGGAAAGUAUGACACAGUAGGGGGGAGCGUGAGAAGGCGGCGUCGGGGGCGGGAUGACGGCCUUCGAGUUAUGAACCGCUUUCGACUGUGACGAAGCGUGAGUGACGGUAAUGGAUAAAGAAGCACCGGCUAACUACGUG